AGUGAACGCUGGCGGUAGGCCUAACACAUGCAAGUCGAACGGCAGCACCGUAAGAGCUUGCUCUUACGGGUGGCGAGUGGCGGAAGGGUGAGGAAUACAUCGGAAUCUACUUUUUCGUGGGGGAUAACGUAGGGAAACUUACGCUAAUACCGCAUACGACCUACGGGUGAAAGCAGGGGAUCUUCGGACCUUGCGCGAUUGAAUGAGCCGAUGUCGGAUUAGCUAGUUGGCGGGGUAAAGGCCCACCAAGGCGACGAUCCGUAGCUGGUCUGAGAGGAUGAUCAGCCACACUGGAACUGAGACACAGUCCAGACUCCUACGGGAGGCAGCAGUGGGGAAUAUUGCACAAUGGGCGCAAGCCUGAUCCAGCCAUACCGCGUGGGUGAAGAAGGCCUUCGGGUUGUAAAGCCCUUUUGUUGGGAAAGAAAAGCAGCAGGUUAAUACCCCGCUGUUCUGACGGUACCCAAAGAAUAAGCACCGGCUAACUUCGUG
rnacentral:rRNA from 1 species